rnacentral:rRNA from 1 species
UCUGGUUGAUCCUGCCGGCGGCCACCGCUAUUGGAAUUCGAUUAAGACAUGCGAGUCGAGAGUCGUAAGGACUCGGCGGACCGCUCAGUAACACGCGGAUAACAUGCCCUUAGGUGGAGGAUAAUCUCGGAAAACUGAGGAUAAUACUCCAUAGAUCUACUAUGCUGGAAUGCUUGUAGGUCCAAAACUCCGGUGCCUAAGGAUUGGUCUGCGGCGUAUCAGGUCGUAGUGGGUGUAACGGACCCACUAGCCGAUGACGCGUAAGGGCCUUGAGAGAGGGAGCCCUGAGAUGGACUCUGAGACAUGAGUCCAGGCCCUACGGGGCGCAGCAGUCGCGAAAACUUCACAAUGGGGGAAACCCCGAUGAGGGAAUUCCAAGUGUCAGCACAUUGUGUUGACUGUUCCCCUGUCUAAAAAACAGGAGAAGUAAGGGCCGGGUAAGACGGGUGCCAGCCGCCGCGGUAAUACCCGCGGCCCGAGUGGUGGUCGAUAUUAUUGAGCCUAAAACGUUCGUAGCCGGUCUUGUAAAUCCUUGGGUAAAUCGGCCAGCUUAACUGUCCGAAGUCCGGGGAGACUGCAAGACUUGGGAUCGGGAGAGGUCAGAGGUACUUCUGGGGUAGGGGUAAAAUCCUGUAAUCCUAGAAGGACCACCGGUGGCGAAGGCGUCUGACUAGAACGAAUUCGACGGUGAGGAACGAAGCCCUGGGGCGCAAACGGGAUUAGAUACCCCGGUAGUCCAGGGUGUAAACGCUGCGGGCUUGGUGUUGGGGGUCCUUAGUGGGCGCCCAGUGCCGGAGAGAAGUUGUUAAGCCUGCUGCUUGGGGAGUAUGUCCGCAAGGAUGAAACUUAAAGGAAUUGGCGGGGGAGCACCGCAACGGGAGGAGCGUGCGGUUCAAUUGGAUUCAACGCCGGG